UUCUUCCUUUUGUUUUAACCUAUUGAUCAAUUAAUAUUGAGCAUUUUAUCUUAAACUAAGAGACCAAGAACAAUAACUAUGGUAGGUCGCUUAACAAAUUUUGGAUUGGUACAUAAAAAUUGUUUCAGGAUAUUCUUCCCCUCUCAAAGCUGAUGUGACAAUGCAUGAUUUACUACAAGAUUUCAAACGAAUAGAUUACCAUAAAGCCUACCUUGCAGCUCUUCUAAGGGCCAUACGAAAAGGUGCGGAUGUAAGAGGAUAUAUGAUAUGGUCAUUGUUGGAUAAUUUUGAAUGGACACAUGGCUAUGAGACGAGAUUUGGGCUAUAUUAUGUUGAUAGACACACCCUUGAACGAAUUCCAAAACUUUCUGUUCAAUGGUUUUCUAGUUUCCUCAACAACACUGGCCACACCAACAAAAGAGAAAACUUGGGCGAGCAACAUCUUGGAAGCAAAAAUGUUAGGAAUGUUGGUUUCAAUUUUAUUUGAACUAUCCCGUGAAUUUCAAUUAACGUGUUCUCGACUCCAUCGAUGAUGAAACUGGUCCAUUCAUUGUUUCUCUUAAUUUGUUUAUGAUAAUCGUUAGAAAUUUUAUUUACGAA